rnacentral:lncRNA from 1 species
CCGUCCCCCCCUCCCCCGGCCCCGUUUUUACGAGCGAAAAGCACAGCGAGGGGCACGGAGCCCCCCCCCCCCCCCCCCCCCCCCCCAAAUUUUCCCCUUGGCCCCGGGGGGGGGGGCCUGGGGGCGCCCCCCCCCCCCCGGCGCCGCUCGCGACCCCCGGGGACUUUUGCACUACCGGGGCCGGGGGGAUCCGGCCGCCGGCCAAUGGGAGGGGGCGCUGCCGGGGCGGGAUCUGGCCGUCGGCCAAUGGGGAGGGAGGAGGGGGGUGGGGCGGGGCCGGCGUUGGGCCAAUGGGGGUGGAGGUGGCGGCUGGGCGGGGCGAGAAGGGGGCUCCGGCCAAUGGGGAGCAGUGGUGGAGGGGGAUCCGCUCGGGAGCCAAUUGGGAGCGAGUUCCUGGAGGGGCGGGGCCUGGUGGUCAGCCAAUGGGGAGCGGGUUCCCGUGGAGGUGGGGUCCAGUGGUCAGCCAAUCAGGAGCGGGGGCAGGAGCUGGUCUUGAGCCAAUCAGGAGCGGGCUGUAGCGGGGCGGGAUCUGGUGUUCGGCCAAUCAGGAGCGAGCUGUGGCAGUGCGGGAUCUGGUGUUCGGCCAAUCAGGAGCGAGCUGGGCGGGAUCCGGUCUUCAGCCAAUCAGGGGGCAUCCUGAGAAGGGCCGGGCCAAUCAGGAGCCAGGCCGGGCUGGGGCGGGAUCCAGGCUUCAGCCAAUCAGGAGUCAUUCUGGGCGGGCCUGGGCCAAUCAGGAGAGGCGCCGGGCUGGGGAAGGAUCAAGCG